GACCAACAAAAUAGAAACCGCGAACUCCACCCCCAGUUCCCCUUCCCGUCGGCUUCGCUAAAUAGGAUUAGGGUUUUCCUUUUCCCCUUUCCAUUUUCUUCCAUUUCAGUGGAAUAAACGGGUAAAUUGCAUUUCCAAAAUACCGAAACUGAACAGCUUUUUUAUUCAGAUGUUUGGACUUGGUAACAAUGGUGCAACUAGACAUUUGUAUUUUAUCAGACUAAAGCUCUUUUGUUCCACAACAACUACAGCAAAUGCAGAGCCCAACUUACUGUCAGAAUUUCUGGUGAAUUCACUGGGUUUCUCCACAGAAAAAGCUAUUUCUGCUAGCUCCAAGGUAACUUGCUUGAAACCCAGAAAUAACCACAAACCUGAAUUAGUUGUUAAUUACUUCAAACAAAUCGGUUUAGACAAUGCCCAGAUCAAAAUGUUGGUCUCUCCUGCACCUAGGUUGUUGUUUGCUGACGUGGACAAAACCCUUAAACCCAAAAUUAAGGUUUUUCAAGAACUUGGCUUUUCUGGGCCCCAUUUAGUUAGGGUCCUUUCAAGAAGUGGGGCUUUUCUCAGAACAGGCCUGAAUACAGGCAUUAAACCAAGUAUUGAAUAUCUUAGGAAAUUAUUGGGAACUGAUGGUUAUGUAGCUAAGGCUAUUACGAGAACGCCUGGAUUGCUUAGCUAUCCUCUCCAGAGGGUAAUGUCACCUAAUAUAUUAUUCCUGCAAAAUCUUGGAUGUUCGACUUUGGAUAUUCGAAAGCUUAUUCUUAGGAAUCCGAGAAUUUUUGUUCAAAAAACUGAAUGGCUUGAGGAUAUUGUGCAAAGAGUGGAAAAGGAUUUUUGCAUUUCUAGGGAUUCUCGGAUGUUUUUCUAUGGAGUGGAAAUGCUUUCGUCGCUUAGUAAGUCGAAUUUGGAAAUGAAACUUGAAAUUUUCAGGAGUUUUGGCUGGUCUGAAUCUGAUAUUAUUACGAUGGUGCAAAGGCUUCCUUUAUGUUUGACUACGUCCGAGGUUAAGCUUAGAAAUAUAUUGAAAUUUUACAUGGAGGAGCUUGGGUACGAAUCUAGUUACAUAGCUUCUCAUCCCACACUCUUAAUGUUCAGUUUUGAGAAGCGGGUCUUGCCAAGGAAUAAAAUCUUGGAACUUCUAAAGGAGAAGCAACUGAUAAAGAAAGUGCCAUGUUUUUAUACGGUUAUCAAGUGUUCUGAGUCGGAAUUUUUAGAAAAUUAUGUCCUGCCCUUAAGGGAUGAGAUGCCUGAGGUAUAUGAUUUUUACAUCAAAGGUCGAAACUAAGAUAGUAAGUUAAUUGUUUUCUCAUACAAGGAUUUCUUGGUUUAUGAAUAGUGUUAGUUUUAAUUGUAAUUCUGGCUGCUAUUGUGCCAACAUUCAUUGAUGAAACUGGUGAUUGAGGACAUUAUCAUUCCCAAAUCGUGUAAUCUAUUUUGGUUUGAUAACAGAAAAGUGAUAACCCUUUUGCUGUUUGGAACAUCAAUGAUCUGAAUGCAUGUCUUAAUGAGGGUAAUUCUCGUUUACUAUUGAUCAUGAGGUAUAAUUUCUCCUUAAGACACUAAUACAUAAACCAGGGGAGGUGAGCAAAUACUUCAGAAGAGAUUGUUUUAGAUCUCUUACAUUAGCCUGGUUAAGCUUGGAUCGCAGGAUAAAUUAUUACUUUAACAGAAAAAUGAGGAAGGAAAAAGGCACCCGAGGACGAGUGAGAGGGAGAAAAAAGAGCAGUUAUAUUCAACUAUAACAGUCUCAACAUAAUGAGAUUUAUUUUUCCUCAUUGUGACGGCACUUGUUUUCAAAACAUCUUUCUUACCUUUCUGUGUUCGCUGUCUUUUAUAAACCUGUAGAGCAUCUAUUUUGUUGAGAAAACUUCAAAUAUUUUAUUUCACACCUCUCCAUCUUUUACUUGGUUAAAUACCAUUGCGUAAACUGUCACUGGAUGCACUGUUCCGUUAAGGCAUUAGUUAACUCAAAAACAGCAAAGCACCAUAUUGAUUGGAAGCUGGUGUUUGUCUGCCGUAGAUAAAAAGAGAUUAGACCUCCUCUGAUGAAAGAAAGAGUUCAUUGAACAACUUAUGUUUUAUGACAGAGAAAACUCUCCAUAUUUUAUUUUACAAGGUCUCACAGUAGCUGCGCUUCCCUUCACCUGCACAAACAAAAGAUUUCUUUCAACAUGUGUUGAUGAUAUUGGUGUGCUGGAAUGACUAUAUUUUGGUUGGUCGAUUUAGAGGCGGAGGAGAAUGCUUGUCAGCAUAGAGGAAAUACUGGUGGUCACUUUGAGUUGAAAGCCGGCCAUGGUCGGGGUACUCCAUACCCUCCAACUUUCUGCCUUCCAUGUUCCAUAGUUUUCUUCUCCCAAUCUGUUCUAGUUCACGGUUUCCGUUCCAUGAGGGGUCACUCAAGGCAUUCAGUAUAGGAAGCGAGCAUAUGCUUGAAGAAGAUUGGGCUAGAAAAUCAAUGGGUAGGUGUAGGUGAAAGCUACUUAUAUUGAGGUUUCUGGAAAACAGCAAUGUCAGUUAUGUAACUUUAAUAUGAAUUUGUCCUAUGAAAUAAAUAGCAAUGUCAUCUCUCACGUUUAUGUC